GAAGGGUGCAAGCGUUACUCGGAAUUACUGGGCGUAAAGGGUGCGUAGGUGGUUUGCUAAGUCUGCUGUGAAAUCCCCGGGCUCAACCUGGGAAUGGCAGUGGAUACUGGCAAGCUAGAGUGCGAUAGAGGGUAGUGGAAUUCCCGGUGUAGCAGUGAAAUGCGUAGAGAUCGGGAGGAACACCAGUGGCGAAGGCGGCUACCUGGAUCAGCACUGACACUCAAGCACGAAAGCGUGGGGAGCAAACAGGAUUAGAUACCCUGGUAGUCCACGCCCUAAACGAUGCGAACUGGACGUUGGGUGCAACUUGGCACUCAGUGUCGAAGCUAACGCGUUAAGUUCGCCGCCUGGGGAGUACGGUCGCAAGACUG
rnacentral:rRNA from 1 species